rnacentral:lncRNA from 1 species
CUCCUUUGUCAUUUUUAUCUCCAAAUAGAAGACCUCUGUUUUCCCAGAAGAUUAAAUAGUAGAAAAGAAGUAGCCCAAGCCCUGGACAACUUUCAGGAAGACAGUUCUGGUCUGUAGCAAUUAACACAUGGUCAUCCUCAGAAAAAGGAGAUACCCAUAACUUAAAAUGCAGGAACCAAGAGAUUUGAGCCUAGACAUUUGGAUGAAAAGCGAUUUCCACCUGGAGAAAGUCACUGCCCUUCUGUGCAGAGUACCAUUGUGUCUUGAAUCCAGCUUGGCCAUAAGGAAAUGGGGCGAGACUUUGUCAUGUAUGUCGCUGAAGUUCAGCUAUGCAAAAAUGUUCACCUAUCCUUGAUCAACCAGUCCAGGAACCAUCAAAGAAGAAAAUGAGAUUCGACUUAGAAGACCUGUUCUUUAUAAACCCCUGCACAGCCCUAAUGAUCAACACCACUUCCAGUGCUCAUAAAUUACUGCUUCAAUAAUUGUUCUGCAAUUCUGCCUAUUCUCAUUGAAUGCUUCGUAUAAUCCCUUUAUUUACUUUGGGCUACGAUUCAUUUUUAUCAGUCAAAUGACUACUAGACUAUCCUGGUUUCUAAUUUGAAAUGUAUCCAAAGAAGAUUCCUGUCUCACCCUCUGCAAUCCACUUGCAUGUCUGACCACACUCGGUGCCUACACAAUCUUCACUUUGUCUAGCCUAAAUUCUUCUAACUGUGGCCUAAGGCCUUGGAAGAAUGAUGCCUCUGUGGGGUAAGAACUGCCUUCGUGGCAUAAGAAAGGCAGACCUGGGUGAUCUGGAAGGGCUGUUGCAAGGGGAUAGGAGUGCUGAGGCCUUUUCCAUUAAGAAUACACAGGACUAUGGAGACUCUUGUUUUACUAGAAACUUCUUCACAGAUACCUUAAAUUAGGAAGAAAAUGCCUUUGGUUCUUGGUUCUACUAUUGGCUUCAAAUUCUUAGGCAUGCCAGACCCUACUGAACAUCUUGACACAUGUCCUUUCUUCUCUGAACUGGCGCACAGGCAUGGUGAGUAACU